GCAUAUCAAUAAGCGGAGGAAAAGAAACCAACAGGGAUUGCCCUAGUAACGGCGAAGUGAAGCGGCAACAGCUCAAAUUUGAAAUCUGGCUUCGGCCCGAGUUGUAAUUUGUAGAGGAAGCUUUUGGUGAGGCACCUUCUGAGUCCCCUGGAACGGGGCGCCAUAGAGGGUGAGAGCCCCGUAUAGUCGGAUGCCGAUCCAAUGUAAAGCUCCUUCGACGAGUCGAGUAGUUUGGGAAUGCUGCUCAAAAUGGGAGGUAAAUUUCUUCUAAAGCUAAAUACCGGCCAGAGACCGAUAGCGCACAAGUAGAGUGAUCGAAAGAUGAAAAGCACUUUGAAAAGAGGGUUAAAUAGCACGUGAAAUUGUUGAAAGGGAAGCGUUUGUGACCAGACUUGCGCCGUUCCGAUCAUCCGGUGUUCUCACCGGUGCACUCGGGGCGGCUCAGGCCAGCAUCGGUUUUGGUGGGGGGAUAAAGGUUCGGGGAACGUAGCUCCUCCGGGAGUGUUAUAGCCCCGGGCGUAAUGCCCUCGCCGGGACCGAGGUUCGCGCAUCUGCAAGGAUGCUGGCGUAAUGGUCAUCAACGACCCGUCUUGAAACACGGACCAAGGAGUCAAGGUUUUGCGCGAGUGUUUGGGUGUAAAACCCGCACGCGUAAUGAAAGUGAACGUAGGUGAGAGCUUCGGCGCAUCAUCGACCGAUCCUGAUGUAUUCGGAUGGAUUUGAGUAAGAGCGUUAAGCCUUGGACCCGAAAGAUGGUGAACUAUGCUUGGAUAGGGUGAAGCCAGAGGAAACUCUGGUGGAGGCUCGCAGCGGUUCUGACGUGCAAAUCGAUCGUCAAAUCUGAGCAUGGGGGCGAAAGACUAAUCGAACCAUCUAGUAGCUGGUUACCGCCGA
rnacentral:rRNA from 1 species